rnacentral:lncRNA from 1 species
CAGCACGAACUAUUGAGGAGAUAAAGCAGCUGGUCAAGGGCCAGGAGCCCGUAGAAUAUUUGACAGCCGUGCAGGGCGUUGUGACCGUGGGUGAAGCCUUGGCCGGGGACUACAUGAUAUCUGCGACGCUCACCGACAACAGCUCCUCAGUGUCACGGAAAGUCAUCCUAGUGCAGUCACACGAGACAAAGAAGGAAGUUGCGAUCCUGGAGAAACUAAGCCUUCACGAGUGCAUACUUGAGUUGCUUGGCAUCUUUCCAUAUGGUGAGUCCAAGCCUUAGACACCGACCUGCCUUUGAUGAAAAGUGUGACAUCUACUCACUGGGAGUGGUGAUUUGGGAGCACAUCACUGGGAACUUUCCUUUCGCCAAAUACACUAACUACCGAAAACUUACCAGAGAUCGGAGCGAAAAUGUUGCCCUCUUAAAAAAGCGAACUUAAGUGACAAACUCAAAAGUUAAAGAGUGAGUUUGGAUAAUCACGAAGCGUUCCUCACUUCCACUUGCAGUGGAAGUAAAAGAGUAGCAGCAAUAAGAAUACAAACAUCUUGGUUUUAUUUUUCUUUCUCUUGGCUUGGAUUCGAUUCGCUUGAAACGAUGGAACUUUAGCUGGCGAGAGCUUCCUUGAGCUCCUUAUUCUCUUUCAUCUCCAUGAUAAUGUCACAGCCCCCGAUAAGCUCGCCUUUGAGGUAGAGCUGAGGAUAAGUUGGCCAGUUUGAGAAUGCCUUGAGCCCCUCGUCACUGAGAAUAUCAAAGCUGCCAAAUUCGAUGCCUUCCUCCUUGAGUGCGCUUGCCACCUUCUUGCUAAACCCGCACUUUGGCUCCUCGGGCGUCCCUUUCAUGAAAAGCAUUGUCGGGGACGAGUGAAUCAGCUUUUUCAGCCGGCUGUUGAUGUCUUCCUUUUCCUCUGUCGCCCCCACAGCUUCCUUGAGCUCGCCACUCUUGUGCAUUUCCAUGACGAUGUCGCAUCCACCUAUCAGCUCGCCCUUGACGUAUAGCUGCGGAAACGUUGGCCAGUUGGAGAAGGACUUGAUGCCUUGCCGGACCUCUUCGUCGCUCAGAAUGUCGAAGGAGCCAAAAGGAACUCCCACCUCCUCGAGUGCUCCCGCAACUUUCUUGCUGAAACCGCACUUUGGCUCCGACGGACUCCCUUUCAUGAACAGCAUCACGUCGUGCGAGUGGAUAAGCUUUUUUAGACGCUCCUCGAGAGUUUCCUCCGGUCCCUUGUCGGAUCCAUUGGCGUGAGCUUUGCUGCCAUUCUCUUGCGACUUUAGCUUGGCGUCCGCAAGAGCUUCUCCCAGCUCCCCACUCUUGUGCAUCUCCAUUAUCACAUCACACCCUCACAAACAGCACACAAUAGUAAGAAAAAAACGACCAAAUGCAGCGAUUGAGUGACUUUUCCUUUUCUACCUUUAUAAAAACGAAGUAAGGCACCAAAGAAACGCUGUACUUUUCGGAUAUUUCUGGAUGCUCCUCGGCUUCAACCUGUGAGUACAAUAAUUGGUGGAUGUUUAUUAGUCAAGUCUAGGCAAAUCAGAGAAGAGAAAAUCGAGCACACGCCCUGUCAAGCGAGACAUGGCAUACGGCACUGCAAGAUCCAGAAGAGAAGGGGAAAAAAAAAUAGCACCACCAACAACCAGACUCACUUAAGAAUGAGACUUGCCAUUCACAACUCCACAACAAAAAUGUGACCGAUUUAGAAACGUGGAAGAUGAAAGAGAAACAAAAAAAACAAGACAAGCAGCAGCGAAUCGAGAAAAAAAUAAAUAAAUAAAAAUAAAAUGCGAUCCGAGAAAUCGGUGAAGUAUUAACCGGUGAAGUAUUGUAUACAAACCCGGAGAAAUCUGGCCCGCGGUGCAGUGUCGGCACAGAGCUGCUCGAAGACGACAUCCAUUUGCUUGGAGGCCUCGCACCAGGGCGUACGGAAAUGGAGCACGACCGAUUUACCAGCCUUGACAACCUCGUCGAGAUGCGCCAAUCCACGAGCUUCUUCCACCAUGAGCGCCAUGGCUCUCCCUCUUCGAUCGCUCGAGACCCUAGAACAGAGGAGACCUAGGGCAAGCUUUUAAAGAGGACGAGCAAGCGCAUAUUCCCUCCCAACAGAUAGCGCAUAUUCCACCACCGCCCCACCCAACGUUGUAGUGGUCAAACAGAGACCGCUUCUAUACAUAGACAUCAGCAAAGAAACUAAAGAAAUUAAGAGAGAUUUAUUUCUGAAGCACUAGAAUACAUUACAAAAUACCUUAUGCACUUCUUUCUUCAGCUCGCCCACUUGCCACGUCAGCACUCAGUUAGGGCUCAAUCAAACUAGACACCGUUAUCACCAGUGUCACUUUAGCCCAUUAUAACGUGCAAAACCCCGUUUUCGUGCAUCGGGCGCCACGUGUUGAGCUGUGGCCGGCCAGAUUACUAUACUAGGAGAGUGAUGUGGAUAAAAUAUGUGUGAAGAUUGAUUCACCGGGAUAUGGCGACUGAGGGCUUGGUCGCCGCAGGGGCUAGUGCAGCAUUGGGAGCUCUUCGAGGAGAUCUUCGAGGAACAGCCGACCUUCUGAUCAAGCUUGCUUGUGCUGCUCGCAACAGCAUAGGCAGAUGCCAGGCGAUGGCAGACAAGGUGAACAUGGUUACCACCGCCCUCGAGAGCAGAUCAUACAGGUACGACGAUGUCAACCUUCAGGCUAAUCUAGAAAAGCUGCUAGUUGUGAUGAAAGACUGCGUGUGUCUUGUCGAGAAACACAGCAAGACGAGUGCGGUGAGCUUCUUCUUCUCGUGCCACGCUCUCACUGUUGACGAAUUUGACGACCUCGACGCGCGCCUCAAUCGCUGCAUCAGCUGCUUGAAUCUGAACUUCCACAUCUCCUCGUAUGAUUGCAGUCAUGAGCACAAAGACGAGAUCAUAGCCCAUAUACAGGCCAACACAGCACGAACAGCACGAACUAUUGAGGAGAUAAAGCAGCUGGUCAAGGGCCAGGAGCCCGUAGAAUAUUUGACAGCCGUGCAGGGCGUUGUGACCGUGGGUGAAGCCUUGGCCGGGGACUACAUGAUAUCUGCGACGCUCACCGACAACAGCUCCUCAGUGUCACGGAAAGUCAUCCUAGUGCAGUCAC